GAUGAACGCUGGCGGCGUGCCUAAUACAUGCAAGUCGAGCGAACAGACGAGAGUGCUUGCACUCUCUGACGUUAGCGGCGGACGGGUGAGUAACACGUGGGUAACCUACCUAUAAGACUGGGAUAACUUCGGGAGACCGGAGCUAAUACCGGAUAAUAUUUAGCUUCGCAUGAAGCAAUAGUGAAAGACGGUUCUGCUGUCACUUAUAGAUGGACCCGCGGUGUAUUAGCUAGUUGGUGAGGUAACGGCUCACCAAGGCAACGAUACAUAGCCGACCUGAGAGGGUGAUCGGCCACACUGGGACUGAGACACGGCCCAGACUCCUACGGGAGGCAGCAGUAGGGAAUCUUCCGCAAUGGACGAAAGUCUGACGGAGCAAUGCCGCGUGAGUGAAGAAGGUUUUCGGAUCGUAAAACUCUGUUGUAAGGGAAGAACAAGUACGUUAGUAACUGAACGUACCUUGACGGUACCUUACCAGAAAGCCACGGCUAACUACGU
rnacentral:rRNA from 1 species